CAAACNACUCUCGGCAACGGAUAUCUCGGCUCACGCAUCGAUGAAGAACGUAGCAAAAUGCGAUACUUGGUGUGAAUUGCAGAAUCCCGUGAACCAUCGAGUUUUUGAACGCAAGUUGCGCCCGAAGCCAUUUGGUUGAGGGCACGUCUGCCUGGGCGUCACGC
rnacentral:rRNA from 1 species